rnacentral:rRNA from 1 species
UACGGAGGACCCAAGCGUUAUUCGGAUUUAUUGGGUUUAAAGGGUGCGUAGGCGGGAUAAUAAGUCAGAGGUGAAAUCCCACAGCUUAACUGUGGAACUGCCUUUGAUACUGUUAACCUUGAGUACAGAUGAUGUGGGUGGAAUAUGACAUGUAGCGGUGAAAUGCUUAGAUAUGUCAUAGAACACCGAUUGCGAAGGCAGCUCACAAAACUGUAACUGACGCUGAGGCACGAAAGCAUGGGGAUCGAACAGG